rnacentral:rRNA from 1 species
UUGGAGGGCAAGUCUGGUGCCAGCAGCCGCGGUAAUUCCAGCUCCAAUAGCGUAUAUUAAAGUUGUUGCAGUUAAAAAGCUCGUAGUUGAAUUUCGGGAUCAGAUUGUCGGUCGUGCCUCGGUACGCACUGGCAUUAUUGGUUCCUACCUUCUGAAGAACCGCGAUGUCAUUAAUUUGGUGUCGUGGGGAAUCAGGACUGUUACUUUGAAAAAAUUAGAGUGUUUAAAGCAGGCGCACGCUUGAAUACAUUAGCAUGGAAUAAUGAAAUAGGACGUUUGAUUCCAUUUUGUUGGUUUCUAGGAUCGACGUAAUGAUUAAUAGGGAUAGUUGGGGGCAUUAGUAUUCAAUUGUCAGAGGUGAAAUUCUUGGAUUUAUUGAAGACUAACUACUGCGAAAGCAUUUGCCAAGGAUGUUUUCAUUAAUCAAGAACGAAAGUUAGGGGAUCGAAGACGAUCAGAUACCGUCGUAGUCUUAAUCAUAAACUAUGCCGACUAGGGAUCGGAUGAUGUUGAUUUUUUAAUGACUCAUUCGGCGCCUUACGGGAAACCAAAGUGUUUGGGUUC